CCCAGACACUGCAAUAAUUACAUUGCAGGUCUAAGACCACCUCUAGAGACACUUCCUGGUUGCUAACAGACUCUGCAUGAGGACAUCCAGCGUCAAUUAACUCCCCAUAGGAACGCAAUGAAGCAAUGCUUUCCUAUGCAUGUGCCUUAGCCCCUCCCCAUCAGAUGACAUCAGAAGAGGCGUAGCGCAGAUCUCGGCGCUGGAAUCAGG